rnacentral:lncRNA from 1 species
CGCAGCCGUCCAGCUUCUGGUACGGGUAGUUGUCGCAGGUGAUGUACCCGCCCUGGAUGCACCGGACCGUCGAGCAGUCGGUCGCCGCCAUGGCUCCCCCGAUCUCGCCGGACACGACGAACGCUGAACGAGAUGAACAAUCGAUCGAUUCACAGGUCAGAACGUGCACUGCUUCAAGAGUGUCCAAAGAAACGACAUGCAUGGAACCGAGAGCAUACAUACCGGAGAGGAGGAGGACGAAGGUGAGGGAGAGCUUCGUGAAGGCAGCCGCCAUGGUUUGUCCCGUGUGAAUUGUUAGAAAGAUCGAUGCAUCAUGCACGGCCGCGGCCGGGGGUUUUUAUAAGCAAGGUGGAGUUGCAGACCGCACCACUCGGCGUAUACUGUCCGGAUGCGCCGCUUCCUCUCACUCGCCGUCGCCGUAUCCGUACCUGACGUAGCUUUCGCCGUUGACAAAUGACAAAGGAGAUGAGAUGGACCAUGCGGCGCUUGCUAUUUUCUGCGUAAUUUCUAUGUCGUCGAGUUGCUUCUUUGGGCUUGCUCCGCUCAGCGCAGAGUUGGCAUCAGCAUGUGGUACAUUCCGGUUAGCGGAGCUCGGAUUUUUUUUUUCCGCGACCAGGCCAUUCAUCCGUAUUUUAGCCUUUUUAGAUUUGAUUUUUCUUUUAGAUUUUGACACUAUAAUACUUUUGUUUGUAUUUGAUAAUUAUUGUCUAACCAUGAACUAACUGGACUCAUAGUUUUUUUAAUUUAUAUUUAAUGCUCCUUACAUUGUAAGAUUUAAUGUGACGAAAAAUCUUAAAAUUUUUUUGAAUUUCAAGUGGAACUAAAUAAAGCCUUCAUUAAAAAGAAAAGUUCACAACAAUAGAACGGAGGCUCCCUGGUGACGAGCAGCUAACAAGUUGCUUCCAAACACAACCUAACUACUGGAUUUCAGUUACAGUUUGAUUAUAGAAAAACCGAGUUACGCGACAACAAGGAGCAAACUCCCGAAGCGAUUUGAAUCCAAGAAGGACCCAAUCACUAGCUUCCUUGAGGACCUUUUGCAGCAAAGUAUCAUUGGCAUUCGACGAUUGUGAGAAGGUUCUGUCAUUGAGCUCGGAUCGGUUAAAAUAGCAUAUUCUGCGUGCGACUGCUUUAUUUUGCUGCUAAUGUAGACCAAUGGGAUCGGUCAAAGUGCCGAGUCCACAGUUUCACACUGAAUCUGAUGAACAUGGUACUGUUUCGGUGUUUCCGGCAUUGACAUUGGGCUAAUGACCAUCCACGCAAGUUGCAUUGCUCAUUGCUUCCCUGCCCAGAAUCCAGAUGCGCAGCCCGAGGGCACUCUUAAUACAGAAAUUAAAGUUUGUAUUGACAUUAAUUAUACUGUUACUUAAGUGUUUUGCUGACGUGGCAAAAUAAUUAUUAAAAGAAAAAACAAAAAUUAUAUAACCAGAUCUAAAUUAAAAACCAUAUCUACACGAAAUCAAGACAUAAAGAGAUGUGAUUGAUAACGAAUAGAGAAAAAAUACAAUGCCAUUAGAUAAAUAUAAAAACUAUAUGUAAUUUAUAACCAUAGUUUUUAUAUAUAGUGCCUAUAAAAAUUAAUAAAUAUAAAAAUUAUAUGUAAUUUAUAAUAUUGGGACUGCCCUGAGCUCGACCGAGGGCAUGGGUUGGGAUUCAGGAACAUGCACAGUUUGGGCCUUGUUUAGUUCAUGAAAAUUGUUAGAUUUGGCUACUAUAAUAUUUUCGUUUGUUAUUUAACAAGUAUUGUCCAACCAUAAACUAAAUAGACUCAAAAGAUCUGUCUCGCAAAUUAGAGCUAAAUUGUAUAAUUAGUUUUUUUAUCUAUAUUUAGUGCUUUAUGCAUAUGUCUAAAGAUUUAUUGUGGUAGGAAAUUUUGAAAAUUUUUUGGAACUAAACAAAACCUUGCUCGAUCGUGUUGCGUUUCAAAGGCUAGGGCGAUGAUGGGUUUGUAAGCCUUGUUUACUUCAUCCCAAAAACAAAAAAAAUUUCAAGAUCUCUGUUACAUCAAAUUUUACGGCAUAUGCAUGAAGCAUUAAAUAUAGAUGAAAAUAAAAAUUAAUUACAUAGUUUGCCUGUAAAUCGCGAGAUAAAUCUUUUAAGUCUAAUUAUUUCAUGAUUGAAUAAUAUUUAUCAAAUAAAAAUAAAAACUGCUACAGCGUCGUUUUCCUAUAAUUUUUUGGAACUAAACAAGGCCUAAAUUAAAGCUGUCCGGCCGGUGGAGCCGCGAGGUGCACGCCUUAGCGGCUGCGCCCAGGUAGGUGCCGGUUGCUACUCCACACGGGCGCUUUCUCUGACGACGAAAGCCUGGGACGACGUGCGAUAUCGAUCCAGUGCAGAUAGUUUCAAAGCUGAGACGUAACGAAAUCGGCGCCGACGCGGCGCACGUACGUACACAUCUUCCCGGCGCUUGUCACGUAAUGGCUGAAAUGGAAUACUAAUUCGUAUUUUGUUACGCAGCACCUAUCCGAAUUCAGGUCAAAAUUGGCCGGAUGUAGUUCCAAACUUUGUAUCCAGUAGCUAGGAGUUUGUUGUUCGACAUUGCCGCUUGCCAUUGUCAAAGCUCUUUGUAACAUUUGGUUACUUUCCUCUUAAUAUAUAACGGGCUGAACCCCGAUCAUGAAAAAAAAACAAUUCAGGCCAAAAUUGGCAUCAUUUUAGGUAAACGGCAAUAAGAAGGGGAAAAAAAGAUGACUGCAUCAGCUCCAUUUUAACACUGAAGUCUUGCUAGUUAUUACUACAUAACAAAAUCAUCUAACGGCGCCCAUGCAAACAUGGGACACUGUGACGAUGAAUGGAACUCGUCUUCUUCGAUCAUCUGCGUUUCCAGCACCGCUUGGUCGAGCCACCUCCGAGGUGGACAACGCAGCGCUUGCCGUCCGCAGGCGCGCACUUGCAGGCGCAGCCGUAGAGCUGCUGCGCAGGGUAGUUCUUGCAGGUGAUGUAGGUUCCUCGCACGCAGUCGAGAUUGCAGACGGCUUCACUGGGCUCAACCGCCCCCAGUAUCACAAGUCCUGAUUCAUUAGACACACAGGCAACAAAAUCUUAUCAGUUUAUGAGCGUCAGCAUCUACAUGGAUUGUACCCAGUAGAGGUGCACUGAAAAAUGGUGAAUCUACAUCUACCGGAGAGGAGGACGACGGCUGCCAUGGACAAGUUGAAGGAGACCAUGCUUGCUAUUGCCUACCUAUAGUAGGCCCUGUACCUACUGAUGGUCUGCUGUCUACUGCGCUCCUCUCUUGUGCGCAAACUCUCACUGAUCUUGGGUUUACAUUCAGAAGGGUCAAGGAUUUAACCUUCACUGCUGAUUCGGUCAAAAAGGGAUUUAACCUUCACUAGAUAAAUUCUCUUCGCAGAAUUUUGUUUAGUAAUUUCAACAGCAUUAAUUGGUUAUCAUUCCAAACAUCAAGUUGUGUCAAACAUCAAGGGCUCUCAAAGAAUUCCUUGCAUGGCUUCCCUCAGCAUGUGCUCCCUUCGUCCCAAACUAAAGUCGCUAUGGUAGGUUUAUAGAAAAUAUUAACAACAUUGUAUCUUUAAAUAAAUUUAUUAUAAAAAUAGAUUUAAUGAUUUAUCUAAUGAUCUAAUUAUAUAUUAUAAUAUUAAUAUUUUCUUUUUUGACAAGAAAUAUUAAUACUUUCUUGUAAAUAUUUGAUCAAAGUUAAAAGUGUUUAUCUCCUCGGAAACAAAAAGGCACUUGGACGAAGGGAGUAUGCAAGUCAACGUCCGGUACUGCGGUACACUACCCUAGAAAUGCCAUCUUAUCAUCUCAGUUAUUCUUUUUUCUAAGGUAACCGGGGGAGAGAGCCUCCCCACCUGAAUUUUAUUGAUUCAGACUGAACAAAGGCAGCUAUGAAAGUUUUUGAUACAAAAUUCUACAUCUUUUGAUCUUUGUAACCACACCUAUUGUGCUGAACAUGUAAAAACAUCAUGCCAAACAUCAGCAAUUGCGCUCUCUCUCUCUCUCUCUCGGGUAGCCGCAAGCCCCAAAGUUUGGCGUCCAGCGCACAAGCAAGUAGAGUCUGUCGGACGCUGGCAAAUUCAGACUUGAAGAUGGCGCCGUUUCUGCAUAUCGGUGGUGAAGAUGGCCUAGUCUAUCGCCAUUGUUACAUGUAAAGCAAACGGUCAUCUCUUAGGCUUUGCAGAAUACCAUGAGUGGCUUCAGAGAAAAUCGUUCAGUCGGGCAGUAGUUAAGAAAAAACAUGAAAAUCAAUCGGACAUUCAGAGUUUCAGGCCUGAACAGCCAUGUACUUUGACAUUAAAUUUGCAGGUUGACUUUUUUUUUCUUGUUGUGCUUUGUUAAAGGGAAAUAGACCAUGACUUCUUUGCACGAUCAGGUUGGGAGAGGCAUAAGUUAUGAAAUGAAAGUGUGAAACAGAAGUACAGAACCAAUGACACGUACCUUGUCCUUCAAGACUAAGGGAGUUCAAACUUCAACGCGUUGACUGAAAAGUACUGUUAAGCAAAUUGAAAAAAUAACGGUGGCCUUUUGCAUUUUGAAUAUUUUUCAUGACCUUGAAACGCUUGUUCAGUUGACUGCAGUGCAGACUGGGCUUGCCCUGUCAUCGUUCGUUUCACAUCAUCAUACAGACGCUAUAGUGCUAAGACACAUGCUUUCAUUAUUGUACUAUAAACAUAUAUACUAGGACUUCACUGAUAUUCAGCAACGAUACUAUUCAGACGAUGAUCACAGUGCAUCAGCUUGGUAUAGACUAAUCAAGAGCAGCAACAGCGAGCCCUCGUAUCAUCCCUGCAUGCGCCGCUCCAGCUGAAGUGCAAAGCCUAUGCCUGCGGUGGGCAGUUGAAGGUAUCGCCGGUGGCAAGGUGGUGGAGCACGCAGUUGAUGCCGUCCUUGGGCGCGCACUCGCAGUCGCAGCCGUCCAGCUCCUGGUACGGGUAGUUGUCGCAGGUGAUGUACCCGCCCUGGAUGCACACCACCGGGCACGGCUCCGGCGCCGCCAGCGUCGUCCCGCCGAUCUCACCCAACACGACGAGCCCUGAUUCAUCUCACAACAUACAGAAAUCGAUCGAGAUCAAUGAAGAACCAUGCAACAUUAAAUCUCAAGAUAGAGAGCUUCGGUAGCAAACGUCGCAUGUCAGCAUACCGGAGAGGAGGAAGAUGCAGGUGAGCGUGAGCAGCGGCUUCAUGGAGGCCAUUUUCUCCUGCACUUUGCUCUGCUAAUUGCUGGUGUAUUGUAAGUUUGUAACUUUGUUGCGAUGGCUGCAGAAGUGCAUAUCGAUGUGUUUAUAUAGAGAACGAUGGCAAUACGAAGAUGUGAC